CGUAGUCGAUGGGAAACAGGUUAAUAUUCCUGUACUUGGUGUUACUGCGAAGGGGGGACGGAGAAGGCUAUGUUGGCCGGGCGACGGUUGUCCCGGUUUAAGCGUGUAGGCUGGUUUUCCAGGCAAAUCCGGAAAACCAAGGCUGAGGCGUGAUGACGAGGCACUACGGUGCUGAAGCGACAAAUGCCCUGCUUCCAGGAAAAGCCUCUAAGCAUCAGGUAACAUCAAAUCGUACCCCAAACCGACACAGGUGGUCAGGUAGAGAAUACCAAGGCGCUUGAGAGAACUCGGGUGAAGGAACUAGGCAAAAUGGUGCCGUAACUUCGGGAGAAGGCACGCUGAUAUGUAGGUGAAGCGACUUGCUCGUGGAGCUGAAAUCAGUCGAAGAUACCAGCUGGCUGCAACUGUUUAUUAAAAACACAGCACUGUGCAAACACGAAAGUGGACGUAUACGGUGUGACGCCUGCCCGGUGCCGGAAGGUUAAUUGAUGGGGUUAGCGGCAACGCGAAGCUCUUGAUCGAAGCCCCGGUAAACGGCGGCCGUAACUAUAACGGUCCUAAGGUAGCGAAAUUCCUUGUCGGGUAAGUUCCGACCUGCACGAAUGGCGUAAUGAUGGCCAGGCUGUCUCCACCCGAGACUCAGUGAAAUUGAACUCGCUGUGAAGAUGCAGUGUACCCGCGGCAAGACGGAAAGACCCCGUGAACCUUUACUAUAGCUUGACACUGAACAUUGAGCCUUGAUGUGUAGGAUAGGUGGGAGGCUUUGAAGUGUGGACGCCAGUCUGCAUGGAGCCGACCUUGAAAUACCACCCUUUAAUGUUUGAUGUUCUAACGUUGGCCCCUAAUCGGGGUUGCGGACAGUGUCUGGUGGGUAGUUUGACUGGGGCGGUCUCCUCCUAAAGAGUAACGGAGGAGCACGAAGGUUGGCUAAUCCUGGUCGGACAUCAGGAGGUUAGUGCAAUGGCAUAAGCCAGCUUGACUGCGAGCGUGACGGCGCGAGCAGGUGCGAAAGCAGGUCAUAGUGAUCCGGUGGUUCUGAAUGGAAGGGCCAUCGCUCAACGGAUAAAAGGUACUCCGGGGAUAACAGGCUGAUACCGCCCAAGAGUUCAUAUCGACGGCGGUGUUUGGCACCUCGAUGUCGGCUCAUCACAUCCUGGGGCUGAAGUAGGUCCCAAGGGUAUGGCUGUUCGCCAUUUAAAGUGGUACGCGAGCUGGGUUUAGAACGUCGUGAGACAGUUCGGUCCCUAUCUGCCGUGGGCGCUGGAGAACUGAGGGGGGCUGCUCCUAGUACGAGAGGACCGGAGUGGACGCAUCACUGGUGUUCGG
rnacentral:rRNA from 1 species